rnacentral:rRNA from 1 species
UACGGGGGGGGCAAGCGUUGUCCGGAUUUACUGGGCGUAAAGAGCGCGCAGGCGGUCGACCAAGUCGCGUGUGAAAGCCCCCGGCUCAACUGGGGAGGGUCACGCGAUACUGAUCGACUCGAAGGCAGGAGAGGGUAGUGGAAUUCCCGGUGUAGUGGUGAAAUGCGUAGAUAUCGGGAGGAACACCAGUGGCGAAGGCGACUACCUGGCCUGUUCUUGACGCUGAGGCGCGAAAGCUAGGGGAGCAAACGGG